UUUUUCUUGUUUGUGUGGCCUUCAAUUCAGCCUCAAGGUCUUUUCACCUCAUUGGUUAACUGGUGGUCAUUUUUUCCUAUUUUCUGGAUAAUAUAACAACCAAAAUGCCCAAGCAUUCAAGUCCCAUUAGGCUCACAUCCUGUAACAUCCAGUCUAACACAAACUAAUCCCACAGACUCCUUCCUCCAAGACACGCACUUAACAUUCGCAAGUUCUCUGCAGUGCGGUGAUUUAUUCUCUAUGCUAAAUCCCAACAACAGAAUUCAGUGAAAUUAACCACAUCACAUCAUUAGAGUUCAAGGACCCAAGAAUAUAUUUUAAAACGAGAUGACACACCACAUUGCCAGAGAAAAGUGAGCUUGAAGAGGAAGCUCCCCUCUGGCUCUGCUUGGCGUAGAGGACUGCUACCGUAACAACGCCCGUUUCCCAUCGCAUAACCACUAGUUCUCUGAGAUUUCUAAAAUUAUUCCUCUGACACAAGGAUGGAAGGAAGAAAGGCUGGAAAACUUUGCUUUGAACACUUCAACUGAUCAUUUUCUCUGUCACAGCACACGGACUAACAGACUCCUCAAGUGUCGCAAGUCAAACUUUCCUCAACUUCAAACUAGAAAAUCCACUCUUUCAUCAACUGAAGAGACACUUCCACCCAAAGUCAGUUUCAGACCCAGGGAUCACCCUUGCAUUUGCCCAUCUUUUUCAGGUAUGUAGUAAUUCCCUAUUUUAAGGAGCAUCUCAUAGGCCAUUUCCACUCUCUAAAAACCUUAACCUUCCAACAAAGUAGUAACGAGCCCUUAGAUUAUAAAGUCAGUUACCAUGUAAGCCACUGAGAUGACAGAAAACUUAUCUCAACUUUUAACAGCUCCAGAUGAUUCUGGCUCAGCUUCUCAUUGGGUCCUUCCCUCUUCAGGGGCUGAAAUUCCAACUGGUCGGCAGGGAUGGCAAGAGUAAGAGUGUCAUAAAACAGUU
rnacentral:lncRNA from 1 species